rnacentral:sRNA from 1 species
CUCGGAGGAGCGAUCUGCAGGUAGGGGUGCGCGCGACCGCUCCCCGGCGGGAGCCAGCGAAGGUUUCCAUGUCAGAGGCUGAUGGAGAACUGAAGAUUGCCAGCUACGCACAAAGGCCAUUGAGACACUUCGUGUAGCUGGAAGACACCAACUUCCUGACAGGAGCUUUAUUUCAUUUGGGAUUUCAAGUUUACACACGGUAUCUUCUCAAAAGUUGGAAAAACCUAUAGUUUCAGAAACAACUCUCCAAGUUCCAUUUCCAAGGAAAGUCUUAACCAUUUGUCCCUUCUGGCGUACCCUCUUUCAUUGAAAUCCAUGCAGAAUAUACCAGAUCCCCAAAAUGGAUGGAAGAAUGCGCCUAAAUUGAGCUGUCAGGCACUUGGCUGCGUAACCAUGCUUUCUGGAUUGUGGUGUUGAAAGUGCCAUCCUGUGUGCUCUCUCCAGAUGGCUGUCAUGUACUUGCGUCUGAGAACAGUGUAUGGACCUGCAUGAGCACUAAUCAGUCUUCCUAGCAGACUUGCUCUUUCUCUGGUCGUAUGCCGCCAGAUCCUCUGAGAAGAGAGUGGGCCUUUCCCCUCAAUGGGCAAA